rnacentral:rRNA from 1 species
GUACGGUGUAGCAAUACACAGUGGCGAACGGGAGAGUAAUGAAUCGCUAACGUGCCCCGGACUCUGGGAUAGCCAGCCGAAAGGCUGGGUAAUACCAGAUGAGACCACGAACAGGCAUCUGUUUGUGCUCAAAGGUCCGCCGGUCUGGGAGCGGGCGAUUUCGUAUCAGCUAGUUGGUAGGGUAACGGCCUACCAAGGCGACGACGCGUAGCCGGACUGAGAGGUUGGCCGGCCUCAUUGGGACUGAGACACUGCCCAGACUCCUACGGGGGGCUGCAGUAACGAAUCUUCCGCAAUGCACGAAAGUGUGACGGAGCGACGCCGCGUGUGGGACGAAGUCCUUCGGGAUGUAAACCACUGUCAGGGGUAAGAAAGUUCUGAUCUACCCCAGAGGAAGGCACGGCUAACUCUGUGCCAGCAGCCGCGGUAAGACAGAGGUGCCGAGCGUUAGGCGGAAUCACUGGGCUUAAAGCGUGUGUAGGCGGGUUUCUAAGUACCUUGUGAAAUCCCACGGCUCAACCGUGGAACUGCUUGGUAUACUGGGAAUCUUGAGCCACUUAGGGGCUACCGGAACAAAUGGUGGAGCGGUGAAAUGCGUAGAUAUCAUUUGGAACGCCAAUGGUGAAAACAGGUAGCUGGGAGUGUGCUGACGCUGAGACACGAAAGCCAGGGGAGCGAACGGGAUUAGAUACCCCCGGUAGUCCUGGCCGUAAACGAUGUCGACUAGAUCGUAGUGCCUCUGACGGUAUACGGUCGAAGCAAAAUGCUA